rnacentral:rRNA from 1 species
GACGAACGCUGGCGGCGUGCUUAACACAUGCAAGUCGAACGGAAAGGCCCUGCUUUUGUGGGGUGCUCGAGUGGCGAACGGGUGAGUAACACGUGAGUAACCUGCCCUUGACUUUGGGAUAACUUCAGGAACCUGGGGCUAAUACCGGAUAGGAGCUCCUGCUGCAUGGUGGGGGUUGGAAAGUUUCGGCGGUUGGGGAUGGACUCGCGGCUUAUCAGCUUGUUGGUGGGGUAGUGGCUUACCAAGGCUUUGACGGGUAGCCGGCCUGAGAGGGUGACCGGCCACAUUGGGACUGAGAUACGGCCCAGACUCCUACGGGAGGCAGCAGUGGGGAAUAUUGCACAAUGGGCGGAAGCCUGAUGCAGCAACGCCGCGGGCGGGAUGACGGCCUUCGGGUUGUAAACCGCUUUCGCCUGUGACGAAGCGUGAGUGACGGUAAUGGGUAAAGAAGCACCGGCUAACUACGUG